UCCGGAGGGGGCAAGCGUUGUUCGGAAUCACUGGGCGUAAAGCGCGUGUAGGCGGCUUGGUAAGUCGGGUGUGAAAGCCCGGAGCUCAACUCCGGAACUGCAUUCGAAACUACCUCGCUCGAGUCCCGGAGAGGGUGGUGGAAUUCCCGGUGUAGAGGUGAAAUUCGUAGAUAUCGGGAGGAACACCAGUGGCGAAGGCGGCCACCUGGACGGUGACUGACGCUGAGACGCGAAAGCGUGGGGAGAAAACAGG
rnacentral:rRNA from 1 species